AGCAUCCCCCUUGCGUGUGUGAAGGAGCAGGACUUACACUGUGCUACCCCAUCACUGAUGGCACCCUCCAUGCCUUCCUCUCCUUCCUAAUAGUACAGAAACCAGACUGUCCCCCGAGUCCCUUCUUAGCUCUUCCUUCACUCAGCCUCAAAUGUGGUCACGACACAGAUCCCACAAAGCCUCUGCAGAUCUGCAACUGUUGGGAACGAGUUCUCUGCAGGAGCAGGGUGCCUCCAUGUUCCUCAUUCUUAAAUAGUAACCAAGUAAUGGGACACAGCUAAGCAGGAGUGACUACAGUGAGAAUGCCCAGAAAAGACGAGAAGACAAUGAUUUAGAGAUGCACAAUACAGACAACACAGCAGGUAAAACUACCAACAUCUAGGUCCUGGGAGAGGAAACAAACUGGGAGGAAGAGAUACUUAAAGCACUUAAAGCAGUAAGGACAGCAAAUGGGAGAAUAAGAAAAACUAUGGAUGCAAGACACCACUGUAUAAUUCAAGAAUGGCAAAUAUGCAGGGUGUGGUGGUGCACAUCUUUAAUCCUAGCACUUGGGAUGCUGAGGCAGGCCGAUCUCCAUGAAUUCGAGGCCAGCCUGGUCUACAAAGUGAGUCCAUAACAGCCAGGGCUCUGUUACACAGAGAAACUGUGUAUCAAAAUCCAAUAUAUACGCGUGUGCGUGCGUGCGUGCGUGUGUGUGUAUACCAGAUACAAAGAAGAAAACUUAUGCAAACAUGAAGAACACAUCAUGUAAAAGUCAGUCUAACACAAGAAUUCGAAAUAGUGCUGAGAUCAGAACAGAAUCCAGCAAGCCUUCAAAGAAUCAAAGGAAAAAGAAUUCUAUCAUUUAAAAUGUGAGGUUGUAAUAAAAACAUCUUCGGACAUUAAAAAUCCCUAAAGGGCUGACCCUGAAAGUACUAUUCUGCUUUUCUCAUAGAAAAAUGCUUCAACAUUUUAUCAAGGGAAGCAACAGAGCAUUAGUAAAGUCUACUUCUGCCAUUAAUAAAGGAAAUGGAGAGGGAGUAACCGAAACAAUCCAGACGCAAGUACUAGGAAAGACCAGCAAAGAGGGGAAAAUGAGAGAAAGCUGAGACUAUUUGUCGUGCUGACUGUGGAAGCAAGUGACAGUUUAAGAUCUCAACAGGGAAGUAAGGUUCCAUGACUCAGAUAAGGACACCUGCAUUAGAAACAAGACAGAAGACUACCCUCAGAAACGGUGGACACUGGCUUGUUUUCUUAAAGAAAAGGGCAGAAAAAAGAAAAAUGUAUCAAAUGCAUUAAAUGGAAAACAUACAAUGGCAGAAACUGUUACAUAAUGGUAAUUAUAUGAAAAUGGAUUAGACUUGUCAAUUAAAAGACAGCGACUCUCCAAGUGCAUUUCUGUACUCAAGCAAUAUGCUGACUUAAAGAAACAAGCUUACAGUGAAAAGGACGAGAUUGAAAACACAGUAAGAAAGGAUAGAUAUACUAGGUAAUCAGGACCCCCUGAAAGGAAAUGGCAGCAGGUACAUGAAGGUCAUUUAUCAGGGAUAGAGAGCAAGGUCAGAGAAAGAAAUAAAACCACAGAUGAGGCUUCAACCAGCCAACCACUAGCUCCUGAAAGCUCAACAGUGACAGGCUCCACUCAGACGCCAUCAUGU
rnacentral:lncRNA from 1 species